UAGUCAUAUGCUUGUCUCAAAGAUUAAGCCAUGCAUGUCUAAGUACAAGCCUCACUAAGGUGAAACCGCGAAUGGCUCAUUAAAUCACACCUAAUCUACUGGAUAGUUAACAGUUACUUGGAUAACUGCGGUAAUUCUGGAGCUAAUACAUGCACAAAGCCCCGAACUUACGUGAGGGGCGCUUUUAUUAGAUCAAAACCAAACGGCUUCGGCUGUAUCCUUGGUGACUCUGAAUAACUUUGGGCUGAUCGCAUGGCCUAGCGCCGGCGACAUAUCCUUCGAAGGUGUGCCCUAUCAACUGUCGACUGUGGCAUAGACGCCCACAGUGGUUUUGACGGGUAACGGGGAAUCAGGGUUCGAUUCCGGAGAGGGAGCCUUAAAAACGGCUACCACAUCUAAGGAAGGCAGCAGGCACGCAAAUUACCCAAUGACCGGAGGUCGAAGUAGUGACAAAAAAUAACGAUACGGGACUCAUCUGAGGCCCCGUAAUCGGAAUGAGUACACUUUAAAACCGUCCCCGAGGAUCUAUU
rnacentral:rRNA from 1 species